UAUUAGUCAGUUGCGUGAGGGGUUGAAGCGGCAUCCUUUUUGAUAGGCAUUUCGCACUUCGACAGGCUCAGUGACCUUCAAAAUGCACUAUCAAAAAGAUAUAGCGGAAGACCCGACCCAAA
rnacentral:sRNA from 1 species